UUAAGUUCAGCGGGUAUUCCUACCUGAUCCGAGGUCAACCUUGAGAAAGAUGGACGGUUGUCCGCUUUACGGCGUGCCGCGCCGCGCUCCAGUGCGAGGUGUGUGCUACUACGCAGAGGUCGCUGCGGCGGGGCCGCCACUGAAUUUCGGGGCCGGCCGCCGGGGGCGGAGGCCGAUCCCCAACACCAAGCCCAGAGGGG
rnacentral:misc_RNA from 1 species